AUGGUGCACAGGAGGCGGCACAGGAAGUGGCAAGAGGGUAAGAGGCGAGGCUGAGGUCAGAGAUGGGGGAGAGCAGGAGAGCGCGAUGGAAAGGCAGGGCGCCUUCUGCACAGCUCCCCCUCCCACCCGGCUCGUCUCCCGGAGUCUCCGAGCGUCAGUCUCCCCUCCUGGCCCCCUACGGACUCUGCCUUUGCUCCCUUUCACUCCUAGGCCCCCCGGGCUCCUCCUUGACUCACUCUUUUCAUGAUUUACCUCUCAUUCCUCCCUCUUUUUUCUGCCUCCACCCUUACCCUUUUCCAUCCGCUCCUCACCCCCUCCCACGCCUCAUCUCCGUCCUUCUUCUCAGCUUUCCCUCUCACUACUCAUUCAGCGCCCCACACACACCCACUUCUGCCCUUUCCUGCCGUUCUGCCUCCGUUUCCACCUACCUGAGCCCUCUGCCCCCAAGCCCUCCCUCCCGUCCUCCCUCUCCGUCCCUCCGACAGCCCCGCCCAGCUGAAUGCAUCCGCCGUCUGCCAGAGAGGGCAGCUCUGGUAACCCAGAGCCAGCUGAUGCAGGCAGAAGGGUAUGAAUGCAGAGGCACACGCAAAAACAUACGUGCUCCGAAUUGCCGAGUUGCAGCAAAUAGUUUUUCCCCAGGAUGGGAUGGAGGCGAAGCAGAUGGAUCUGCCACACACCCUUAGCCUGCGCCAGGGAAAGGGAGAGCCACUGGGAGACGCACAGCACCCGCCCGGAGACAGUCCUUUCCAGACCCGAGGUCGCUACCGGCGUGUAGAAAUUGGGGGAGGGGAGAAAUAGAGACCCCAGGACGGGAAUGAUGGAGACCAAAUGGGAGCAAGAUGACCCACAAGAGACGCGCAUGGGUAGAGAUGGACCAGAGAGGAAGAUGCGGCGGGGGGAAGAGAGCGAGAGGAGACGGAGCAGGAUGACGUUAGCACAGCCGGGCCAGGACUGACGGGGCCGCCGGCCAAUCAGCCUCUUCCAUGCACAGGUCCCUGCUGCGUGCCCUAUGGGAACGGUGAAGUAAAACCCUCAGUCUGAGCCUGAGAAACCCUGGCGUUUGUAGCCCAGGUCUGCGAGGAAGCCACAGGGCGGUCCGCAGGGCGGUAGCGGGGCUCUGGGACCCGAGGAGGGGUAGGACGUCCUGCACACCUCGCGCGCGCACCUGUCGGAACGGGCCGCCUCUUCCUGCCUACCUGCCCUGCCUCCGUCGCCCCGAAUUUCACCUUAAACCAUGAUGAACCAAGCCCAGUGGAUUCUGAAGCCUGGGACGAUGGGAGGUUCGAGAGAGAAGUGGGCAGCUGGGGGCGGGGCGCACGAUUAUUGAGGCACCCCACCCCCCCACCCCCCCCCCCCCACACACACACACAGAAAUACAUCUGGGAAGCAUGGGUUGUCCUAAGGGCUUUGGACUGGGGAUUAUGGUCUCAUCGAUGACUCAGAAGGAGAGAAAACCCUCUGCGUCCCAAGCCAAAGAGAAUAAAAUUCUCCAGUAUAGCCAA